CUUCAACGACCCCAGCCACAGCGGCUCUUCACGGUCCUGGCCGUAGGUGGCCAGCACCGCCUGCGCCUC
rfam:Streptomyces scabiei 87.22 complete genome